UGGCUCAGUGGUGAAGAGCAUUGGCUGCUCUUCCAGAGGACCUGGGUUCAAUUCCCAG
rnacentral:tRNA from 1 species